CCGGCACGGGUGAGUAACACGUAUCCAACCUGCCGUCUACUCUUGGACAGCCUUCUGAAAGGAAGAUUAAUACAAGAUGGCAUCAUGAGUCCGCAUGUUCACAUGAUUAAAGGUAUUCCGGUAGACGAUGGGGAUGCGUUCCAUUAGAUAGUAGGCGGGGUAACGGCCCACCUAGUCUUCGAUGGAUAGGGGUUCUGAGGGGAAGGUCCCCCACAUUGGAACUGAGACACGGUCCAA
rnacentral:rRNA from 1 species